rnacentral:rRNA from 1 species
CUACGGGAGGCUGCAGUGGGGAAUUUUGCGCAAUGGGGGAAACCCUGACGCAGCGAUACCGCGUGAGUGAAGAAGGCCUUUGGGUCGUAAAGCUCUUUUCUAAGGGAAGAUAGUGACGGUACCUUAGGAAUAAGCGCCGGCUAACUCCGUGCCAGCAGCCGCGGUAAUACGGAGGGCGCGAGCGUUGUUCGGAUUUACUGGGCGUAAAGGGCGCGUAGGCGACCUGGCAAGUUAAGGGUGAAAUCCCGGGGCUUAACCCCGGAACUGCUCUUAAAACUGCCAAGCUAGAGAUGGUCAGAGGCGGGUGGAAUUCCAGGUGUAGAGGUGAAAUUCGUAGAUAUCUGGAGGAACACCGGUGGCGAAGGCGGCCCGCUGGGGCCAUUCUGACGCUGAGGCGCGAAAGCGUGGGGAGCGAACGGGAUUAGAUACCCCGGUAGUC